AGAGUUUGAUCCUGGCUCAGGAUGAACGCUGGCGGCGUGCUUAACACAUGCAAGUCGAGCGAAGCACUCUGCUUUGAUUCUUUCGGGAUGAAGAGCAUUGUGACUGAGCGGCGGACGGGUGAGUAACGCGUGGGUAACCUGCCUCAUACAGGGGGAUAACAGUUAGAAAAGGAGCAAUCCGCUUUGAGAUGGCCUCGCGUCCGAUUAGCUAGUUGGUGAGGUAACGGCCCACCAAGGCGACGAUCGGUAGCCGGACUGAGAGGUUGAACGGCCACAUUGGGACUGAGACACGGCCCAGACUCCUACGGGAGGCAGCAGUGGGGAAUAUUGCACAAUGGGGGAAACCCUGAUGCAGCGACGCCGCGUGGAGGAAGAAGGUCUUCGGAUUGUAAACUCCUGUUGUUGAGGAAGAUAAUGACGGUACUCAACAAGGAAGUGACGGCUAACUACGUGCCAGCAGCCGCGGUAAAACGUAGGUCACAAGCGUUGUCCGGAAUUACUGGGUGUAAAGGGAGCGCAGGCGGGAAGACAAGUUGGAAGUGAAAUCCAUGGGCUCAACCCAUGAACUGCUUUCAAAACUGUUUUUCUUGAGUAGUGCAGAGGUAGGCGGAAUUCCCGGUGUAGCGGUGGAAUGCGUAGAUAUCGGGAGGAACACCAGUGGCGAAGGCGGCCUACUGGGCACCAACUGACGCUGAGGCUCGAAAGUGUGGGUAGCAAACAGGAUUAGAUACCCUGGUAGUCCACACUGUAAACGAUGAUUACUAGGUGUUGGAGGAUUGACCCCUUCAGUGCCGCAGUUAACACAAUAAGUAAUCCACCUGGGGAGUACGACCGCAAGGUUGAAACUCAAAGGAAUUGACGGGGGCCCGCACAAGCAGUGGAGUAUGUGGUUUAAUUCGACGCAACGCGAAGAACCUUACCAAGUCUUGACAUCCUGCGACGCACAUAGAAAUAUGUGUUUCCUUCGGGACGCAGAGACAGGUGGUGCAUGGUUGUCGUCAGCUCGUGUCGUGAGAUGUUGGGUUAAGUCCCGCAACGAGCGCAACCCUUAUGGUCAGUUACUACGCAAGAGGACUCUGGCCAGACUGCCGUUGACAAAACGGAGGAAGGUGGGGAUGACGUCAAAUCAUCAUGCCCUUUAUGACUUGGGCUACACACGUACUACAAUGGCGUUAAACAAAGAGAAGCAUGACCGCGAGGUGGAGCAAAACUCAGAAACAACGUCCCAGUUCGGACUGCAGGCUGCAACUCGCCUGCACGAAGUCGGAAUUGCUAGUAAUCGCAGAUCAGCAUGCUGCGGUGAAUACGUUCCCGGGCCUUGUACGCACCGCCCGUCACACCAUGAGAGCCGGGGGGACCCGAAGUCGGUAGUCUAACCGCAAGGAGGACGCCGCCGAAGGUAAAACUGGUGAUUGGGGUGAAGUCGAAACAAGGUA
rnacentral:rRNA from 1 species